rnacentral:rRNA from 1 species
AUGGUCUCCCAGUCCCAACAGCCACCCUCGCCGCCGCCGCCGCCGCCCGAGCCGACCAGCAUUAGCUCUUUGACCGACGACCUCCUCCGUGAGAUCUUCCUCCGCCUACCGGACCUCCCGACCCUUGUCCGCGCGGCCUUCACCUGCCGCCCCUUCCUCUGCCUGGUCCGCUGCUCCCCGGCCUUCCGCCGCCGCUUCCGCGAGCUCCACGCGCCGCCUCUCCUCGCCCUCUUUCUCACACCCUACAUGGACGCCGUCAUCCCUUCCGCCAGCCGCAGCCCCGACCCGGACACCACUGCCGCCUUCGCCGAUUUACUCGGAGACGACGACGCCACCGAGUGGGGGACAGAUUCCCAAAUUCCCUACUACUACGACGGGUACGUCGCCUUCGUCAACCGGAGCACCGAUCAGACUGCCUCCUACAGCCCACUGAAUAUUGGAGCGCCGGCGCAGGCCCUGGAUAUCUACCCCAAGACGCCCCGCGAAGGCAUCGACGCCUGGCUCGAGUUCUACACGCUCCCUCCGGACCAAGAGGGCCAGAGGCCAUCCCGUGUGGUCUGUGUCCGUCACGAUCGCUCAUCGGCGCGCGCGCGUGUGGCCGUCUUCUCAUCUCACGCCCUGAAGUGGCAGAUCUUCCCAGAGUCCAGGGGGUUGCUGCUUGAGCGCGACAGGCGCACGAUUCGUAAGCUUGUCGAUGGGUUCGUCUGCUGGUUACGAUCGCUUCCGCUUCUAAACCCUAAUACCCGCACCGCCGCCGCAGCCGCCGCCACCUUCACCGCCGCCGCCGCCAUGUCGAGCGCCGCCACCACCGGUUCCACUGCUGCGGGCUUCCUCCCGGCCUCUCUUGCGGCUCUGCUCAACCUCCCGCUCGAUGCCGUCUCCGUUCCGGCUCCGAUCGGGACAAGGAGCAUCGGCUCCGAAUUCACGCUUUCUGUUUGGCUCUGGACACCCGACGAUGACGGCGUCGAGAGAUUUAUGCUGCACAAGAUGUUUCAGUUGCACACAAUUGUUAAGGAGAUCACUAAGCGUUCAGUCCUGGACAAUGUUGACGCUGGAGGGCAUAUGAACGUUACUGAUGGAUUUGUGUACCUGUCUGUUGUCUAUGACAAGGGUAAGCAAUCUUCUAAGUGGUUCCUAUCCUUCUGCCUGGAAACAGCAGAGGUGAAGUUGCUCUUUGAGAAAACAUGCAGUAUUUACUGCCCUGUUGAUCCAUACAUCAUGGCCUGGCCUCCUUCUUUGAUGCACGACAAGGGGGAUUCAGAAACUGAAGUUGCCAGGGACACUGUUGGAGAUGAUGGUCCUGUGGGCACGGAAGAAGCUUCCCCUGUCCUCUUCACGGCAUUGCAGUUAUUCAAAGAAGCUUUGAUUGAUGAUGACAACGCAAAAUUUGUGGAGAUGGACGCUUUCUUACUUGAUGAUGAGAUUAGCUCCCUUUUGAACAAAAUCUCUACUUUAGAAGCAGGAUUAGCAGCUGGGAGAGACUGUGUGCUGAGAAGAGGUGCUCAUUCCAAUAUCAACGUGGAAGGGAUGGAAAGGAGGAGUUGGUGGGAAAUGUGCAAGGGGAUGUUGGGGAGAGUUUCUUCCCACUUCUUUGCCAAUUGA